AUCUGUCCUUUCUGGGUUCGAUUUGUGAAAUCAAGCUUGAUUUGAGCUUGAAAUCUGCCUAGAUUGAAGAUACUGAUCUCAUUCAAGGCAAAGAAAUGAUGAAUUAGAGGCAUUUGAGAGCAUACAAUAAUCCAAAAGCGAGCAUGUAGACGAAUAAAACUGAAGGUCGUUCAUCUCACAUAUUAGGAAAACCAACGGGAAAAUAUUUGCAGUCUUGAGGCAACUUUGGUGAGGAUUAGCAGAUCUGGAAACGAAUGGGAAACUAUUUGUAGAUCUGGGAAUGCUUUUGUGAUGUUUAGCAAAUCUGGAAAGCUACGGGAAAGUAUCUGUAGUGGAGAGAAUGCUUUAGUGUUUAGCAGGUCAUUAAGGUACGCUUACUAACUAUAUAAAAAUAAAUUCUAAGUGGUAUAGCUGUAACUGUAGUCCUAUGUGUCGUACAUGUACUUAAAUGUAUUGCUUGCAUGUUUAAGUAGAAA